rnacentral:rRNA from 1 species
GUGCCAGCAGCCGCGGUAAUACCGGCAGCCCGAGUGAUGGCCGAUAUUAUUGGGCCUAAAGCGUCCGUAGCUGGCCGAACAAGUCCGUCGGGAAAUCCAUCAGCCCAACUGAUGGGCGUCCGGUGGAAACUGCACAGCUUGGGACCGGAAGGCUCGAAGGGUACGUUCGGGGUAGGAGUGAAAUCCCAUAAUCCCGCACGGACCACCGAUGGCGAAAGCACUUCGAGAAAACGGAUCCGACAGUGAGGGACGAAAGCUGGGAUCUCGAACCGGAUUAGAUACCCCAGUAGUCC